rnacentral:lncRNA from 1 species
GGGAGGGAGGGAGGGCGGGGAGGGGAGUGGGGGGGGGGAAGAAGGGUCACCAAAUAAGGGGAAAAAAAACACUUUGUAUAUGACUUUUAAAAAAAAAACGAAAACAAAAAACAAAAGAGGACAACACAGUAUUUUUCAAAAUUGUAAAUAGCGCAUAUGCAUGGAUAAAAAAAAAAGGAGCAAGCGUGGCACGUGUUUGCAUAAUGUUUAAUUACAAAAAAAAUAUUUAUUCUUUAAAAACCUUCAAGAUGUCUAUUUGCCGUGCAUUUCUUCUUCUUCUUCUUUUUUUUUCAGUUUGCUUUUAAUUCGGGUAGGGAGGGCAACGUGCGCAGCUGCAAACAACUCAAAUUCUCUGGCUCAAACAAGAUAGAUAGAUGGGGGGGGUAUUUGGGGGGGGGGGGCUUCUUCCUCCUCCCACGCCUUGCAACCCAUUCCUUGUUCGGGUGUGUGUGUUCCUUGCUGGCAACGGACACCGUCCCUUGCACACUUCCAGCUUCGUUGGUGUGCGUUUCCCGUUUUGGAAAUCAAAGUGUUGUAAUUCCGGCUGCCUUUUUUUCCCCGGCUUUGAACGCCCCCCCCUUCUCUCCCCCCCCAAUUUCCUCCUAACCUCGGCCGUUUGCCCGUGUGAAAAUCCAAUUCUCUUAUUCCACAACUGGUUCUUCAUUCAUAGGAAAUUUGGGGCAUGUGGGUUAAGGUCUCUGUGUGGAACAUUCCUUGUUGAGGUGUCGGAUCUUGGAAACCGCUGGGAAAAAUUGUGGCGUUUGGUGGUGGUUGGUGAGGAAAAAGUGCUCGGUGCAGCAAAUAUUCCCAUCUAGUUGCAAGAAUCUGUAGCAUUUCUUCCCCCAGUAACGUUAAGAGAGGUGGACUUCCAAUUCCCAGAAUUCCCCAGCCAGCUUUGCUGGCUGGGGAAUUCUGGGAGUUGAAGUCCACACCUCAUCUUUGCUGCGGUUGAGAAAUUGAUCUUUAUAGUUCCUGGAGCUAUUGAGUAUUUUUUAAUUUCCCCGAAUGAGGAGGAAAUCAUGAAUAUCAAACUAUAUACAAGUCAUUUAUAGUCUCAUAUUUUCUUUUUUAUAAUAAAAAUUACCUUCAAGCACGGUUUGGAAGCUGU